UACGUAGGUGGCAAGCGUUGUCCGGAAUUACUGGGUGUAAAGGGAGCGCAGGCGGGAAGCCAAGUCAGCUGUGAAAACUACGGGCUUAACUUGUAGACUGCAGUUGAAACUGGUUUUCUUGAGUGAAGUAGAGGUUGGCGGAAUUCCGAGUGUAGCGGUGAAAUGCGUAGGUAUUCGGAGGAACACCGGUGGCGAAGGCGGCCAACUGGGCUUUAACUGACGCUGAGGCUCGAAAGUGUGGGGAGCAAACAGG
rnacentral:rRNA from 1 species